CUGCCUCAUUGCUCUGGAGUGACAGCACAGCAGUGCUCCUCUCUGCUGACAGCUUGAGCUGUGUACAAAAUAACUCCUUGCUGAAAUGCAACUAUCUCUGGGGUGGAGCGCUACUCCUCGACUCCUCCAUAGAAGCAAAACAGAUCUGGGACACAGAAAAAAAUGCAAAAUCAGGAUUGGAUGGAGAGUGAACUUGGGAGUGAACUUUCCGGAAAGUACAUGAGAGGGAUCAGAGCUCAUUGCACGUGAACUGAGCAGCAGUGAAUAAAACAACUUACAAGCUACGUCAGUUCUGGGAAACAAAAGCGUUUUACAGAAGAUUUCCUCUUGUUUGAGUUGUGAUAUCCAACCGUGAUGGAUAAUCACUUCUUAUCCUGGUUGUUUUGUUGCUUCUGAGACAUGGAGUUUUUACUUCAAGCUUGGUUAAAGACUAAAAAGAGGGGACGCAGCUGUGUCUCAAUUAACCCUUAGCUCAGCAGUAGGGUUUUCUCAGGCUGCUUUGAGAAGAAAAAACAUAGUUAAAACAACAGAAAGUUUUAACUUUUGCCUCGAGGGCUGGAAACCUAUUUUUCAGGCAGCUUAACUUCUGUCAUUCUCAGGGUGUCUCUUCAAAUUAGCAUCAGACAGUGAAAUAAAUAGGAAAUAUUGCCCAAGAGUCCUUGGUUUUGUCAGAAAGGACUUUGAUAAAAGUAGAGGGGAAGAAAAAGAAAGCCUGAAUCAUGAAGGUCUGCCACGUCUUUUUGCUGCUGUGAAAUCAAAACUGACUGAGUUUAUGGUCAUUCAAUUAUUACAACCAGUGUAUGAGAAAACCAAUAAUUUGGUGAUGCCGGGUUAAAUGUUCUAGACAAGACAUGGUGUGAACUUCCUCAUGUUUGAAUUCUAAAUUUCAGCAAAGGGUCCCUUGCAUGCGUGCACUUCGUUUUCUCAACAGAAAGUAAAAGAGAAAACAAAAGCUGAGGAGGCAUUCAAGUACUGUGGAGAUGUGGCACUGAGGGACAUGAGUGCUCACUGCUUUAUGCCACUUCUCUGACAGAAGAGGAACUGCAGCAAAGGAGAGAAAUUUCUUCCAUCUGCGGCCAAGGUUAAGGCAACCUGUAGGAAAGAAUGAAAACGACGCAGAGAAAUGAGCACCUCAUUUCAGCAAGGGCCAAACUGCUGUCUGCAACAUUUUGGAUGACUCAGCGUGUUUCCUGGUUUUAUUUAUUUCUGUUUUUCGUUGCAAGAGGUGUUUGUGUCAAAACUAAAGCUUGAGGAGCUGAGCCUAUUAGUACAUGACAUGUCUUUCUCUGUCACGCCCAAAGCCGCAGCCAUGAUUUCCCUCUCACUGGCUCUGGGAUGAAGCAGGUGUAGGGGUGUUGAGGUGGUCUGGCACUGGAAAUGCUGGCGGGAAGCUGAGCUGAGAGGAAACCCAUUCCUUAUGGGCUGUUACACAAACUGGGAGCUCUACAGAAACCCACCAGAGAGACUAAGGGUUGGGAAUAAUUAGCACACAUCAAAAAAUCCAUAAGAAACACAGCUACUUUUUGACAGAAGGGCUGAAUUUUGCAGCUAUUGGUCAGUGCAGUGAAUGGAAGGGAAAUGAAUAUCAGUGCAAACGUUGACUCAAUCCAGAGAGCUGCUCUUCUUUCUCCAGCAGGCGUGUGGAAAUCUAUUGCUCCUCACUGAAAAAUAAAGCUGGGGAUGCAUUAUUAAAAAGCAGGACAAGCAAUGUGUUAACCCCUUCAUUUCAGAGCAGAACUUCCAGGAUGAAGCAUACUAAUUGUUUCACUGAUAUGUGAUAUUAGCUAUCAGGGUCAAGUGUUUGAAAGAAGUCUCACAGUCUACUACAGAGGCAAUUUGUUAUAAGCAAGAAAUGGAGGCAAGAGGGAAGAGAGAAAUGGAGCAGCUGGAAUAGAUGGCAGAAAGAGAGAUGGAGGAGGAAAUGAAAUGGAAAAACACAAAAAACAUGUUGGCUAGAGAAAACAAGGAGAAAAGCAUGAACAUGGGUUCUUUAGAAAUGUUCUUGCUGACAAGAACCUGGAAUUUUUAUUUACCAUCACUUCAUUCUUCUAAAGUAUCUGCUAUUUACAGUAUAUUGCAUUCUCAAUAUUUCCUACAAUUUUCCUCCUGAGGAGGCUCCAUUCCCUGCCCUUCCCCCAGCUGUGUGGGACAAGAGCCACAGCAUCCAGAGUUUAAAAAAAAGGGAAUGAUAACUCUGAUCCAUAACAGAUCUCACCAAUGAUAUACAAAAUUUGAAAGGCAUAUUUUCAUGUUUUUGUGGUUUUUUUUCCACCCUGUCAGUCAUCUUCCCUUUGAGUUCCUUGAGGGAGGUUAAAUGGGAACACCAGGUAGCUGGCCAGCAAUGUCUGGAAGUGGCUAGUGCAGAAAUAGUGGGAGCCUCUGCACCUUUACCCUUUAUGGAGUUCAUUGUUAGAUUGUGGAUAUGUUUAAGUGAGAAGGUAGAGCCACGGUGAUUCCUAUGCACUGUGAAGGAAGCCUGCAGAGAUGUCUCUGCUGCCUUGGUGCACGAUUAGGAAUGAUAUGAAUGCAUACAGGCUGCAGCUUGAUUGGCCAAGAUGGAAGUGAUAUUCAUGAAACAAUCAGAGCAUUUUGCUAAUGCACAAAGAGUGACACAUGAUCCCAAUUGAGUGAGAAUGCUCAGAUCUGCCCAUUUGUGGGUAAAAGUAUGAAGAUAUCCCCCAUGUCACUGGGGUGGAAAGAGUUAAAGAGCACCAAUCAAUCUGCAAUCAAGCAGCUGAGGCAUAAUUAGCCAGACUGAUUAGGCCAUAAAGGUUGUGGCAAGCCAGAGUUUGGGUUUUCCUAGAGGGAAGACUGCAGAACUCCUGAGCUGAGGGCAGCUCAGCUUCUGGGGUGAGUAGUUCAGAGCAUUGAGCUUUGUGUCUGUCCUCUGUAGCUGUGGUGAAGCUGCUCUGUAGUCCUUGGGUUGAGGCUUGGUCUGUAUUUAUUUGUGUAUUUGAGAUUCCCUAUACAGGUUUCUUUGUAGCUGUUCUUUAACUGGGCUUUUUGUGAUCUUCUGAGUGCUGCUGGGAUACUUGGUAUAAAGACCUGAAAGCUGAGGAGCAACAGUUUUGAGCGCCUAGAGUUGCAGAAGAGCUGGAUGCUCUGCUGAGAAUCCUGGUAGUUCAUCCCCAUUGCAAUUCAUGGCCUGCUUUUCCUCUGGUGCAGUGCUGGCAAUGGAUGAGGGCUGGGGCACCACACAAAGGUCCUCAUCUUUCUUUUCUAGCGCUCACCAGGGAAGUGUUUGAGGGCACUUAUAGGAAGAAAGAAGGAAGGAAGGAAGUUUUUGGAGUCUAUUGCUGAAAAACAAAUCAGUGUGUUUCUCCUGUGAGACAAAGAGAAUGCAGUGUACAAAUACAACUCGGUUUCUGGCUUCUAAAAAAGAGGUGAGGGAAUAAUAAAAGAAAAAUAAAUAAAGGAAAAUGCAAAUAUUUAGAAAGCUCCAGGCUUGCGGUACAUUUUGCUGUUUCCUCGUCUCUAAAAGCCCUGUGCACCUUCAAACAUUCCUGACUGCGGUGGAUAUAUGAAAUAAGUGCCCAAUUUGGGCUUGCAUAGCCUAGCCAUACCGUAAACAAGCAGUGCUGCCUGGAAUCAUUGGCCAGACAGCUGGCAAUCCCUGCAGAUUUUCUAACAUCAACUCUGCUCUUGGAGAGGAGGCUGAGCCCUGCUCCGUGAACCAUCCCCUUUGCAUAGGGCUGGAGGCAGGCUGCAAACUGAGCAGGGAGAAUAAUUCCCCUACAAAUUGCUGCAAGUGUUAAAGCUCCAGGGAGCGGAUUUAAUAGCUGCCUUCCACUCUGCAUUGGUUCAGCAGGCUGUGGUUUAUGGGCACAGCUGGACGAUAGUGAAAGAAGGCAGGAAGGGGAGGCCCUACUGUGCUUGGAUUUGUGGAGAAAAAUGAGUGUGCACUUGUUUGGGCUUUGCUUUGUGUGGGUUCAUCCCUGUAAGGUUAGAUGCCAAAGAAUAGUAGUGGGCUGGGAGUGAGGAAUGUGGGAAUCAGCAUCAGCAAAGCGAGGUUUGUGCAGCGUGCUGUGGGAUUUGGGUGGCCACGUGGAAGUAGCAGUGAGUUCAGCCUUCUGGGCAGAGAAAAAGAAGUUAUGACUUCAAGCUCCUAUUUGCCUCAGGUUUCGCAUGGUGAAAAGGGGUGUGUGUGGGGGGGGGGAGAGUUGGAAGUGUGUAUAAACGCCAACUCAGCAAAAUGAAUGGUUCACACAGAAAACCCAAGGCUGGGAGUGAAACUUGACUCACUGAGAGCCUCUUGUGUAUUGAGUGCAUGUGGUGUAGUGAUUGAGGAAUAUCCCAGCUGCCCCUAUCAUGACAAAAUAAAACAGCGCUUAUUGAAUAUUUAGAGAUUGAAAUGCCAAAAAGGAGAAAAAGUUGCCCUCUGAAGAUGUGGUGAAGUGGAAGCUGGAGAUUGAAAUAGCUCUUCAGGGAGGUAAUGAGGCAGACAGUGAUGAUGCAGAUCUGGGGAGGAAGGACCUCAGCAUCCUCUGACUGCUUCUGUUACAGGUGUGGAAAUGCUUAUCUGACCUGGCAGGCUUUGUGUAGGAAAUACAAAGCUCUUCUUGAGGUUCCCAGGGUUUGUUUCUAUUUUUUUUUUUCCCCACUAGCGGCAGGAUUGCUCUCCAAAUUUCAAAGCUGGUG